ACGGCGUUACCGGGGGUACGUUCGCCGGGGACCCAGAGGCUGCCCGGCGUGCCGCCAUCGAGGCGCGCUCCGGUGCGGGUUCGGCGGGCGGUC
rnacentral:tRNA from 1 species